AAUAAUUCUUACUUUUAUACCCGGGUAUUUCCUAGAGUUCUCAGUUUUUCCGAUUUCUGGGUACUCACCACUAAAUUUUCCACACAAUUCACUUCACUCAAUUCACUUAUCUGGGCGACAACCACGUUGGGCGCCAAUUUUUCUGUUACGUGUGAGCCUACACCUGGUUAUUUACCUGUCACGUAAACAGACCUCCGGACUAGCUCAGCGUCUCACUGAAAAAUAUUUAGAUGUUGAUAAAAGGGUGGGUCGCGCAGUGAAUGAAGAAUACUCAUGAAUUACGGUACUAAUUGUUUAUUGGGCGUCCCCAAGGCAUGGGAGUUGCCCGAAAUGGCCCUGAGAGUCUCUUUUACAAACUAAUUCUAUUUAUGAAAGCAAAUCUAAUCCAGUACAAUAAUCCAUUUGAUGCAAUACUUUUGAUUCUAUAACUGAGAGAGAGAUGGGACAGCAACGAGAAUGAGAGUCUUAGGAGACAAUUAAUCACGAUGCAAGACAACUCGGACUCGACAUAGAUUCGGACAGACUAAACGACUGACUGAUUACAAGAGGCCGCUCCUCCUGAAGGUCCCAGGUUUAUGUAACCUCGGUCGCGGAUGCCGCCAAACACCUGUAUCACUGCGCGGAACUUGUAUUAUUCCGCGGUUGAACUCAGAUUAUUCCGCCCUGAGGAACUAGGUGGUUAUUGUCAAGUUCCCUAGUCAGCAGAAAAUGGUAUCAAGGCGCCGAAAGCGGUUCCCUGUGCUAGAGUACCUGUUCGCUCGGUUCCCAUGAGAAAGCGUCUCCUCAGCAACACGUGCAAGCAGCGAUUCUCGGUAACCAGAGUCAGGCUAGAAAUACAACGGAAAUUCGGUGUCUAAUUCAGGCAAUUCCGGGGAAAGGAAGUACCACAUGUAUUUUCAAAUCGACAACCAACCUCUGCAUUUAAUUGAAAAUUUAGAUUUUCAAACUUAUAUAAAAAUAAAAGAUGACAACACCGCAGCUCUGGAUUUCAUGAUGGAAUUACUAACCAGUCGCAAGUAUCCACUUCAAAAUCCUUCGCGGGAUAUUAUAUAUCGCAGUCUGGACGGAAUC